GAAUAGGGUAUAGCCAGAGAUGGUCUAGAGAUUACAAGAUGCAUAGAUUGUGAAAGUGGAAAGAGGAGAUUGAGAUGUGAGACUGAAGUCAGAUUUAAGGCAAGUAUCCUAUACCCUUCUUUUGGAUAUCUUGCGAUUAUUCUGAUCCAUUCUUUUCGUAUGUGUUGCAAAUAUUCGUUCCUUUCUUUUUCAUAUUUGGCAAGUGCAAAUAUUUUUAUCCAUCCUUUUCUAAUCCUCAAAAAUUCAGAUAAUUCCAGUUUUACAAAUUAAUUCGAAGUUC
rnacentral:lncRNA from 1 species